UGCCAGCAACCAGAAAGCCACCUCUGGUUAAGACCACCAUUUGUCUUUCCCUUUCCCCGUAACUCAGAGUGAAAAACGACCCGCACACAUUGUGGCUGGUGGUAACAGAGGGGUCACCUCCCGGGAAGUUUUUAUAAAUACAUGGGCCGCAGCUUCUGAGGAAUCUGCAAAAGACAUCGCAGUAGACAAGGCUCUGUCAGGCGGAGGACACAGCUUUAUUAGUUAAACCCACGGAACAGGACCUAUGCAAGUGGAGGAGGAUUUGGUGUUAAGGUUAAGACAAAUCAUAUGUGCUUCUUUUUUAUCGAUUGUAAUGGUUAAGUUCCACGGACAAGUAAUUUCAAUAAAUCACAUCUCCUGCGGAUAAAUACAGGGCUUUUAUUUCUAGAAGAACAGCUCACAGAUUUUUGCUAGACCUUACUCCACGGUUUCCUACUGACCCAUCACAGAUUAAAACUUAAAAUUUGCAGAUACAGAAACUGGAACCCAAAGGUGACCUAACCCAGAGAGAGGAUUCCUGCAAGGAUCUAAAGUUGCUGACCAGUGUGCUCUUCCAGUGGGCAGUAUAUCGUAGUGGGCAUAAUAUUGUACAGAUGUCGAACAAAUGGUUUCUGUGGUAUUAUCAGAAUUACACACCAGUGUUGUGUGUCAGGGUUAGGUCAGGGAAGGUAUUAGCUUCAAAAGAAUUUUGCUACAAGAGUUUGAGAUUCUAGACUGGAAAAAAAAGAAAUGGUAACUUUUGAAGGGAGUUUGUACCAGAUAAGCUCAUUCUCAUUCAGAAGAGAUGGCAUCUCCCAGGGCAAGACUGGUGGCCGACCCGGAGUACACCCACCCUAGGUGAGUGCUUGGGAACCAGUCUGAACCAGAAGUAAACUUGGAAGUUUCUGGCCCUCCACAGCAGGAGAUGGACCGUCUGGUCGGAUGGUACAGGUGCACUCAGAUCUCAAGGUCAUCUGGGUUGUGGAACCAAGCUUCUGGAAGGAAACUUGGGUCCCAUUCCUGAGUGGGCUGCUGACUCCACCUGUUAACAGGAGCCUUCCUGUCCACUCCUUAGCUGCCCCGUGAGCCGCAUGAGCGAUGAGGGACACCUUAGGAUUUCCAGACUUCAGAAUUGGGAGUGAGCAGAAAAUGAGCCCACCCGGCCAGAAGGGUGUUACCUGCAGGCCUGUCGGUGAAGUGGGCUUUGGAGUCAGAGGGAAGCCCAAGUCCUGGCUCUGUGUCACUUCCUGCCUCUGGGUGUCAGUUUCGUCAUCUAAAGAACGGGGGUUAUCACCCCUACUGCACGGGAUUAUUCUCGGGAUUAAAUUAGAGCAUGUAAAUUAGAGGUGCUGGACUCGUGCCUGCUACAGAGUAAGAGCCUGUGGUGCAGCAGCGGUUGAUGCUACAUAACUGGUUGUCUGAUUUCCCAGCCUACUGCAGACUGGAGCCAGCAGAUUAGAAAGGCCCGGGGGACUGCUUCGGGAAGGCCCACUGACAGCAGGAAAAGGUGACAGGUCGAAGCCCGACUACAAGGGAGGCAAGAGAAAAACUAUAAAAAGCAGGAACAAAAACUCAAAAGGCACAGCAGUCUGGGGCAUUUACUAAAAGACAAAGAGCCCUCCUCAGGUUCUAACAUUCCCAUGGACCAGCCCUGCUGUCGUGGUCUCUAUGACUUUGAGCCAGAAAACCAAGGAGAAUUAGGAUUUAAAGAAGGGGACAUCAUUACGUUAACCAAUCAGAUAGACGAAAACUGGUAUGAAGGAAUGAUACACGGGGAGUCUGGAUUCUUCCCCAUUAACUAUGUUGAAGUGAUCGUGCCUUUACCUCAGUAAACGUGUAACAAAAACUGUGGACAUCCUUUCGUAACUGAAAUGAAUUCACACCAGUGUUCUCUCCCUGUGGUGUUCUGUGACAUCCUUGCUCUCUGACCAACUUAAUGACUUUUGUAUGUGUGUUCUCUUUAUAAUGUAUUUUGUAUCGAUUUAAUUUGUAUAAAUGAUGUUCUUGCCCUAGCUACAUGGAAAUAUAGUUUUCUUUUUUGCUUAUUGUCCUAAAAGUCAUUGGUUAAAUGUAUGUGCUUCCUGUUGCUAAAAAUAAAUCACCCCCAUUGCAGUUAUGUCAGCGAUUGCCUAUAUUCCUCAGCUGCAGUGGAAUGCAAAGUGUGAAACUAAGAAACGCUCAGUAUUCUGUUUCUUGACAUUACUGAUGGCAUCUGGUCUUUUCCCUUUGUUGUAUUUUGAGCUGACCUGUGAAUAGCCCCAAUAAAUAUGACACACCGUGUUGGCAAAAAGGCCUUGAUUAUUUUUAAUGUCGAAUUGAUUUUUAAGCACAGUCUCCCGGCUGCAGACCCCUCCCGUGCCGGACGGCUGACCGGAGGCUCACAGCACGGGUCUCAGAUGCCAGCUCCUCACCGGCGUCUGCAGGCCUGAGCCGGGCGUUCAGUUUCCACCUAAAAUAGCACACACCCUCCUUGCAGUUGCGGGAUAGAAAACCCUUCCGCCUACUUUCAAGUUUUAUAGAUGGGCCCAACUCAAGCUGCUUCUGCUGCCAAAUGCUGGGUAGGCUUUCCGAGCAGGUCCUGUUACGGAUGCUGAGGAAGCAGCAUGGUCAGGAGGUGGGCUGAGCGCUCAACGGCGCAAUCACCUAGGGUCAGCACGCCGGCGCCGGCCUUGCCCAGCGCCUGCACUUGUUGUGCGCUUUGGCCCACUGGGGUCCACAACAUUCUGGGUGUGGGGGAGGGGCGGGCAUUAGUUCCCGUUUGCAAAGAAUGAGGCUCACCAAAUGGCUUGCCCAGGGUCACACGACCAGGUACAGGCACACCUCAGAGAUAUGGCGAGUCCAGUUCCAGACCAGGACAGUAAAGCCAAUAUGGCAAUAAAACAAGUCACACAAAUUUGGGCGGGUUUCACCAUGCAUACAAAAGUUAUGUUUACACUGUACUGUAGUCCAUUUAGUCGAUUAAAUGGGUGGUAGGAUUAUGUUUUAAACAAUGUACAUUAUUUACAUCUUAAUUAAAAAAACACUUUAUUACAAAAAAAUGCUAGCGAUUAUCUUGAGCCUUCAGUGAGUUGUAAUCUUUUUGCUGGUGGAAGGACUUGCCUAGAUAUUGGUGGCUGCCAACUGACCAGGGUGGUGGUGGUUGGUGAAGGUGACUGUGGCAAUUUCUUAAAAUAAGAUGACAAUGAAGUCUACUACAUCAAUUGACUCCUCCUUUUAUGAAGGAUUUCCCCGUAGCCUGCCAUGCUGCUUGAUAACAUUUUACCCACAGAGCCUCUUUCAUAAUUGGAGUCUCCUCUCAAAUUCUGCUGCUGCUUUAUCGACUAAGCUCAUGUAAUAUUCUAAAUCCUUUGCUGCCAUUUAACAGCAUCUUCACCUGGGGUGGCUUCCAUCUCUGGAAACCACUUCCUUUGCCCAUGCGUAGGAAGCAGCUCCUCGUUAUGAGAUUUUUGCCAGUUCUCUCAUGACAUUGCAGCGAUCCAGUCCCAUCUUCAGGCUCCACUUCCAAUUCCAGUUCUCUUGCUGUUCCCACCUCAUCUGCAGCUCCUCCCUCCACCGAAGACGUGAACCCUUCCAAGUCAUCCACGGUGGUUGAAAUCAACUUCUUCCAAACUCCUGUGAAGAACGGUCUCCUUACCUUCCUGGAAGAGUCAAAGAAGGACACUCCCGGUACACAGCUCUCUGCCUUCAUCACAAGGCCACUGUUGCCAGGGCAGUGGCUGCUGCUGUGUCUCGUCACCUCUCUGAGUCUCAGUUACAGAGAUGAUUCUCUUCUCCAGUUUCCAGCAGCACUCCUACAGAAUUCUCUGUCAUAGUUAUUUGAUAAUUUCAGCGGAGAAUGGCUGGUUUGAGUAAAACAUGUGAGCUCAAAUCAUCUUCUGGCAUCAGAAGUCUUUAUCAGCAGUCCCCAACCUUACUGGCACCAGGGACCGGUC